rnacentral:rRNA from 1 species
UGGGGAAUAUUGCACAAUGGGGGAAACCCUGAUGCAGCGACGCCGCGUGAGUGAAGAAGUAUUUCGGUAUGUAAAGCUCUAUCAGCAGGGAAGAAAAUGACGGUACCUGACUAAGAAGCCCCGGCUAACUACGUGCCAGCAGCCGCGGUAAUACGUAGGGGGCAAGCGUUAUCCGGAUUUACUGGGUGUAAAGGGAGCGUAGGUGGCAUGGUAAGCCAGAAGUGAAAACCCAGGGCUCAACUCUGUGGAUUGCUUUUGGAACUAUCAAGCUAGAGUGCUGGAGGGGUAAGCGGAAUUCCUAGUGUAGCGGUGAAAUGCGUAGAUAUUAGGAGGAACACCGGUGGCGAAGGCGGCUUACUGGACAGAAACUGACACUGAGGCUCGAAAGCGUGGGGAGCAAACA